CUGGGAGAUUGUGCCCUUUAACUACAGUCUUGGAGCUUAUAGACUUCUAUUGGACUGUGUAUGGCCCUUUAAGAACUGCAUUUGGGCUUAUGGACUUUAUUGGACCGUGCUGGCCCUUUACAAACAGUCUGGGGACAUAUUGAGACUUUGUGUGACAAUGCCCCUUUAAGACUAUGUCCCCAGUCCAUGUUUUUGGGUCCGUCAAUGGCCAGCGGGACCUUGAUGCAGUAUUCAUG